AGGUUAAGCUAAUAAGAGCACACGGAGGAUGCCUAGGCGCCAGGAGCCGACGAAGGACGUGGCGAACAACGAAACUGCCUCGGGGAGCUGUAAGCAAGCUUUGAUCCGGGGGUGUCCGAAUGGGGAAACCCAGCUGUGGUAAUUCGCAGUUACUCAUCUCUGAACACAUAGGAGAUGUAGAGGCAGACCAGGGGAACUGAAACAUCUAAGUACCCUGAGGAAGAGAAAACAAUAGUGAUUCCGUCAGUAGCGGCGAGCGAACGCGGAACAGCCUAAACCUAAGAGCUUGCUCUUAGGGGUUGUGGGACGUCUCACAUGGAGUUACAAAGGAAUAUGGUAGG
rnacentral:rRNA from 1 species